GAUUUGACGUCAAGCGUCUUUUGUACGCAAAGGCUACAGAGCCGAAAUUCAUUUCCUUUUCUCUGCUACAAUGGCCGGCUAGACUGCAGCAAAGGAACAACCAAAGUCACCAUUUCUUUUCUUCUAAAACUCAACCAAAUUCUUACCAAAACUUCCCUAGAUUCUCACCAAACUUCACAUUCGUUUAGCUUUUCACUUGGACAACAACUUAGGCUGGAAAAGGGAGGAGUUUCACGGCUGUCUUCAGGCUUCAUAGGGACCGAAAUUUUCUGAUUUGAACAGCCAUCAAAGUAGGCACGCACGAGGACCUCCAAGAGGACCCUACUGUGGAAGUUUGAACUCUUCCUCCAAUUUACUUGCUUGCAUAACUUGGUUUGAACUCGGAGGUAAAAUGGAGAAGCCCUCUUGAUGUACUUUUGUUUAGGGCUUGUUAUUACUUUUGGUUAUGCCUUUGGUUUUGGAAUUGUACUUUCGGUAUGGAAAUGUGACCCUGAGAACUGUCACAGUUGGUAUCAGAGCCAUAUGCCGACAGUUGGGAUCUUAAGUCCUUCGUCUGGAAAAGCCCCGAGCCUCUCGUUCGUGAAGAGUCACGAAGCGAAACUCUCCGUAAGGGAUGCCCGCGUGCGGGUGGCAAGCUGAUAGGUACCCCGUGAUGUGACCCUUUGGACAAAAUGUAAUCUGUAUUCUGACGUGUGGUUUGGAGAAUGGAUGACUAUUAUUAAGUUUGAAUACUUCCGCAUUUAGUG